GACGAACGCUGGCGGCGUGCUUAACACAUGCAAGUCGAACGAAAAGACGCUGCUCUUGUGGCGUUCUCGUGAGGCGCACGGGGGAGUAAAACGUGUGUAUACCGCCCCUGACUGUGGGAUAACACCAGGAAACUGCGGCUCAUACCCGGGAGGAUCUACUGCUCCAUGUGGGGGAAUGGAAAGUUUCGGCGGUUGGGGAUGGACUCGCUGGUUAUCCGCUUGUUUGUGGAGUAGGGGCUUACCAAGGCUUUGACGGAUAGGCGGCCUGAGAGGGUGACCGGGGACAAUGGGCCUGAGAGACGGCGCAGAAGGGUACGGGACGCAGCAGGGGGGAAUCUUGCACAAUGAGCCGAAGUCUGAUGCAGCAACGUCCCGAGCGGGAUGACGUGCUACGGGUGGAAAACCAAUGUGGACGGUAACGUAGAGGGAGUGACGGUAAUGGGUAAAGAAGCACCGGCUAACUACGUG
rnacentral:rRNA from 1 species